rnacentral:rRNA from 1 species
CCUACGAGAGGCAGCAGUAGGGAAUCUUGCUCAAUGGGGGAAACCCUGAAGCAGCAACGCCGCGUGGAGGAUGAAGGUUUUAGGAUUGUAAACUCCUUUUGUUAGAGAAGCUUAUGACGGAAUCUAACGAAUAAGCACCGGCUAACUCCGUGCCAGCAGCCGCGGUCAUACGGAGGGUGCAAGCGUUACUCGGAAUCACUGGGCGUAAAGAGUGAGUCGGCGGGGUAAUAAGUCAGAUGUGAAAUUCUGGAGCUCAACUAGAGAACUGCAUUUGCAACUGUUACUCUGGAGUGUGGGAGAGGUAGGUGGAAUUCUUGGUGUAGGGGUAAAAUCCGUAGAGAUCAAGAGGAAUACUCAUUGCGAAGGCGACCUGCUGGAACAUUACUGACGCUGAUGCACGAAAGCGUGGGGAGCAAACAGGAUUAGAUACCCGGGUAGUC